rnacentral:rRNA from 1 species
AUUGAACGCUGGCGGCAGGCUUAACACAUGCAAGUCGAGCGGGGUGAUGGUGCUUGCACUAUCACUUAGCGGCGGACGGGUGAGUAAUGCUUAGGAAUCUGCCUAUUAGUGGGGGACAACAUCUCGAAAGGGAUGCUAAUACCGCAUACGUCCUACGGGAGAAAGCAGGGGAUCACUUGUGACCUUGCGCUAAUAGAUGAGCCUAAGUCGGAUUAGCUAGUUGGUGGGGUAAAGGCCUACCAAGGCGACGAUCUGUAGCGGGUCUGAGAGGAUGAUCCGCCACACUGGGACUGGAACACGGCCCAGACUCCUACGGGGAGCAGCAGUGGGGAAUAUUGGACAAUGGGGGGAACCCUGAUCCAGCCAUGCCGCGUGUGUGAAGAAGGCCUUAUGGUUGUAAAGCACUUUAAGCGAGGAGGAGGCUCUUUUGGUUAAUACCCAAGAUGAGUGGACGUUACUCGCAGAAUAAGCACCGGCUAACUCUGUGCCAGCCGCCGCCGUAA